AUUGAACGCUGGCGGCAGGCCUAACACAUGCAAGUCGAGCGGAGCGGCGGCCGGGUGAGUAAUGUAUGGGGAUCUGCCCGAUAGAGGGGGAUCACUACUGGACACGGUGGCUAAUACCGCCUACUUUCGGAUGAACCCAUUUGGGAUGAGCUAGUGGGGGGGGUAAAGGCUCACCUGGGAGACGAUCUCUAGCUGGUCUGAGAGGAGGCUCAGUCACAAUGGAACUGAGACACGGUCCAGACUCCUACGGGAGGCAGCAGUGGGGAAUAUUGGACAAUGGGCGAAAGCCUGAUCCAGCCAUGCCGCGUGUGUGAAGAAGGUCUUCGGAUUGUAAAGCACUUUAAGUUGGGAGGCGUUACCAACAGAAUAAGCACCGGCUAACUUCGUGCCAGCAGCCGCGGUAAUUC
rnacentral:rRNA from 1 species